GUCUAUUUGAAGUUAUAAAAAGUUUGACCUGCCCGCUGAGGAGAAACUUUAAGGGCCGCGGUAUUAUGACCGUGCAAAGGUAGCAUAAUCAUUAGGUUUUUAAAUGGAAUCUUGUAUGAAUGGUUGGACAAAGGAAAAGCUGUCUUUUUGUUAAAAAUUGAAUUUUACUUUUAGGUGAGAAGGCCUAAAUGAUUUAGAGGGACGAUAAGACCCUAUAAAGCUUUACAUUAUAAUUACAUUUGGUUAAAUUUUUAAGAGGAAAAGGUUGAUGUAAGUUUUGUUAUGUUGGGGAGAUAAAAGUAUAAAUUAUAAUAACUGCUUAAAUUUAUAUACAAUGAAAUAAGUGGAAAAAAAAAUGAUCCUAUUUAUUAUAGAGUAAAAGAUUAAGUUACUUUAGGGAUAACAGUGUAAUUUUUUUUGAGAGCCCAUAUUGAAAGAAAAGUUUGCAACCUCGAUGUUGAAUUAAAAUAUCUAUAUAAUGUAGUUGUUAUAUAAGAAGGUCUGUUCGACCUUU
rnacentral:rRNA from 1 species